ensembl:lncRNA
AUGGCAUUCUGCGCCAUAAAAGCACUCAUGUCUACAACUGCAGGCAAGUGUAUAAGCAUCAACUCAUGUGGUCUUGCCCACAUUUUCCACUUACAGGCUAUUUACAGACGUGAAAUCAGAGCAGACUCAGGGACACACACGGCUUGGCAUAAGACUUGGUAUUCUAAUCAGAAAACAAACAACUAAACAGACAAUUUUUGCGACCUGUCUGAACAAAGGCAAAGAAACCCAUCUAUAUUCUCAGAAGGACAGAUUAAAGGCUUGUUACAGACGUCUCCUUUGUUCCCAUGCAGUCUGGCCUGUGAUUGCUCUCGCUCUCUCUUCUUCUCACUGUUUCCAUGCUCUUUCAGAACUGAGAGGCUUGUGGAAAUUGCUCCUGUGGGUACCGUUUCACUCUUCUACUGUUAGGUGUUAGUGCUGGAAACAGAGACAGUAACUGAGCUUGUUUAAAAGCACAGAAGAAAGAAAAAAAGUUGAAUAAACCUUUGCUUUACAUUUGUAUAUUUCA